AGUCUUAAAAUAUGUUGUCUCAGUAAGGACAGAAUGACAGUCCUGCUUCACAUCUAUUACAAUAUCACACCAGUAUGUCAUUGCCAAAUACCCAUACAGAAUUAAAAAGCGAUUUGCCCAAUUCAAUAUCAAUUCAUUUAAAAACUAAACUUUAAAGGUUUCAAAUGAAAUUAUAAUAAAAAAAAAAACUGAUAAAGGAGAAAGUAUGAAAAAGUAAAUUAAAGACGAAAUUUG
rnacentral:lncRNA from 1 species